rnacentral:rRNA from 1 species
UGGGGAAUAUUGCACAAUGGGCGCAAGCCUGAUGCAGCGACGCCGCGUGAGGGAUGACGGCCUUCGGGUUGUAAACCUCUUUCACCAGGGACGAAGCGCAAGUGACGGUACCUGGAGAAGAAGCACCGGCCAACUACGUGCCAGCAGCCGCGGUAAUACGUAGGGUGCGAGCGUUGUCCGGAAUUACUGGGCGUAAAGAGCUCGUAGGUGGUUUGUCGCGUUGUUCGUGAAAACUCACAACUCAAUUGUGGGCGUGCGGGCGAUACGGGCAGACUAGAGUACUGCAGGGGAGACUGGAAUUCCUGGUGUAGCGGUGGAAUGCGCAGAUAUCAGGAGGAACACCGGUGGCGAAGGCGGGUCUCUGGGCAGUAACUGACGCUGAGGAGCGAAAGCGUGGGGAGCGAACAGGAUUAGAUACCCUGGUAGUCCACGCCGUAAACGGUGGGUACUAGGUGUGGGUUCCUUCCUUGGGAUCCGUGCCGUAGCUAACGCAUUAAGUACCCCGCCUGGGGAGUACGGCCGCAAGGCUAAAACUCAAAGGAAUUGAC